AUGAACGCUGGCGGCGUGCCUCAUACAUGCAAGUAGAACGCUGAAGGAAGGAGCUUGCUCUUUCCGGAUGAGUUGCGAACGGGUGAGUAACGCGUAGGUAACCUGCCUGGUAGCGGGGGAUAACUAUUGGAAACGAUAGCUAAUACCGCAUAACAGUAGAUGUUGCAUGAUAUCUACUUAAAAGGUGCAAUUGCACCACUACCAGAUGGACCUGCGUUGUAUUAGCUAGUUGGUGAGGUAACGGCUCACCAAGGCGACGAUACAUAGCCGACCUGAGAGGGUGAUCGGCCACACUGGGACUGAGACACGGCCCAGACUCCUACGGGAGGCAGCAGUAGGGAAUCUUCGGCAAUGGACGGAAGUCUGACCGAGCAACGCCGCGUGAGUGAAGAAGGUUUUCGGAUCGUAAAGCUCUGUUGUAAGAGAAGAACGAGUGUGAGAGUGGAAAGUUCACACUGUGACGGUAUCUUACCAGAAAGGGACGGCUAACUACGUG
rnacentral:rRNA from 1 species